CCCUUAGAUGUUCUGGGCCGCACGCGCGCUACACUGAUGCAUUCAACGAGUCUAAAACCUGCUCUGAUAGGGGUGGGUAAUCUUUUGAAUGUGCAUCGUGAUUGGGAUAGAUGAUUGCAAUUUUUCAUCUUCAACGAGGAAUGCCUAGUAAACGCAAGUCAUCAGCUUGCAUUGAUUACGUCCCUGCCCUUUGUACACACCGCCCGUCGCUGCAACUGAUUGGGUGACCUGGUGAACAUCUUGGACCGGCCCACUCAAUUUCGAGAGGACUGGAAAAGGCCGUAAAUCAGGUACAUCUAGAAAUUGCAAAAGUCGUAACA
rnacentral:rRNA from 1 species